rnacentral:ribozyme from 1 species
UUCGUCCUUUUACAUUCUUCUUUUGCCCUUUUACAUUCUGUUGUGUGUUAUUGUUUGACGCCAAAUUUAAUAAUAACAAUAAGAACGCAACCAUGCUUGCAUUCAUCGAAAAAAAAAGAAAAAA